rnacentral:rRNA from 1 species
GACGAACGCUGGCAGCGUGCUUAACACAUGCAAGUCGAACGGUAAGGCCCUUCGGGGUACACGAGUGGCGAACGGGUGAGUAACACGUGGGUGAUCUGCCCUGCACUUCGGGAUAAGCCUGGGAAACUGGGUCUAAUACCGGAUAGGACCACUGCCUGCAUGGGUGGUGGUGGAAAGCUUUUGCGGUGUGGGAUGGGCCCGCGGCCUAUCAGCUUGUUGGUGGGGUGAUGGCCUACCAAGGCGACGACGGGUAGCCGGGCCUGAGAGGGUGACCGGCCACACUGGGACUGAGAUACGGCCCAGACUCCUACGGGAGGCAGCAGUGGGGAAUAUUGCACAAUGGGCGCAAGCCUGAUGCAGCGACGCCGCGUGAGGGAUGACGGCCUUCGGGUUGUAAACCUCUUUCAGCACCGACGAAGCGCAAGUGACGGUAGGUGCAGAAGAAGGACCGGCCAACUGCGUGCCAGCAGCCGCAGUAA